UCAUGUUUCUCUUACUUUCAACCGUCUGCACUUAGGCGCAGAGGGUUAGAAAAGGUGUCCCAGAUUCAAAUGCCUGAAAAAAUGAGGGAGAAGAGGUCCAGAGCUGACCUAGCUUGCGGAGGCCACACAGUCGGUUUUGGUUGUGGUCAACGGCAGUCGGGAUGCAGAUGAUCUUCCCUCUGACAUGUGAUCAGAGGGUCAGUACUGAUGGUCAGCUACGUCAUGGCAUCUGUGUAAUUCACCAUGCUCCAUCUCCUCACAUAGGCAUUUUAUUGUCUCAUAUCAUCACGAGAAGGGUAUGUAUACACAGGAAAAAAAACCAGAGUUUGGUACUAUCAUGGUUUCAGGCACCCAGUGGGGUCUUGGAUCACAUCACCCACAGCUAAGGGGGACCACCUUACCCCAACUCUCAGCAGUAUGUUCAACUUAAGCCCCUGCCAUAAGCCUUUUGGAGAGUGAGCAGUAUCCUAAUUCCUGCCUCCUCCCCCUCCAGCCAAGUACAUAAAAGAGAAGAGGAGACAGAAGCACCAAGGUUAAAACUGAUAAUUACAAAACCUUCUAUUAAACUCUUGGGUGAAAUGAAAAAAUACGAACAGAAAUUAUGGAAUCUAUAAGAAGUACUAAUCAUUAGAAUAGUAUAUAUUGAAAUUUUAUGGAGGGG